CCUACGGGAGGCAGCAGUGAGGAAUAUUGGACAAUGGGCGGGAGCCUGAACCAGCCAAGUCGCGUGAAGGAAGAAGGUACUUAGGAUUGAAAACUCCUUUUGUCGGGGAACAAAGGCGGAGACGCGUCUCCGGAUGAGUGUACCCGAAGAAAAAGCAACGGCUAACCCCGUGCCAGCACCCGCGGUAAUACGGAGGAUGAGAGGUUUAUCCGGAUUUAUUGGGUUAAAAGGAUGCGCAGACGGGAGAUCAAGUUAGCGGUAAAAUGUCGGGGCUCAACCCCGGCCGGCCUUUGAAACUGGUUUUCUAGAGUUGGAGAGAAGUAUGCAGAAUUCGUGGUGUAGCGGUGAAAUGCAUAGAGAUCACGAAGAACUCCGAUUGCGAAGGCAGCAUACCGGCUCCAUACUGACGCUGAGGCACGAAAGCGUGGGGAUCGAACAGGAUUAGAUACCCCUGUAGUC
rnacentral:rRNA from 1 species